UACAGAGGUCCCAAGCGUUGUUCGGAUUCACUGGGCGUAAAGGGUGCGUAGGCGGCGUGGUAAGUCGGAUGUGAAAUCUCGGAGCUUAACUCCGAAACUGCAUUCGAUACUGCCGUGCUUGAGGACUGGAGAGGAGACUGGAAUUUACGGUGUAGCGGUGAAAUGCGUAGAUAUCGUAAGGAAGACCAGUGGCGAAGGCGGGUCUCUGGACAGUUCCUGACGCUGAGGCGCGAAGGCCAGGGGAGCAAACGGG
rnacentral:rRNA from 1 species